GUAAGGGCUGAACUGGAAGAUAUAGAUUAGUGUGAGAACCCACUGGCCUGCAAUCUCUCUGCCAUCCAAAUCCAGCCCCAGGGACAGACUCCCACAGGGAAGCUUGAGUCUCACAGCAAACGUUUGCACAAGUCACUGUUUACUCUCCUCCAGAGUGGAGAGGGAAGGGAAAAAAUCUCAAAUGCCUUCGUUUAGAACCAUUGAUAGGUUAGCUCCUGACAAUUGGGCAAACACUAGAAUAAUCUCUUGGGGUGCCAGCUAUUUACAGGAGUUGCCUGAGGAAAGCAAGCUUCCCGCCACCUGGAGACCACGUAAUCAGGUACAGCAGAUUCUGACAAAGGAAAGGAAACCGCCAGUUCCUGGGAUACUAAAUUCGGGUGGAGCCUCUCCUGCUGGAUGAUGGAGGAACGUGGCUUAGUGUUCAAACUACCCAAAAUGCUUGAGGAUGUUCCCAAAGGAUCAUCACAUCUUAAUGGUCAUAUCGAGUUGAUCACCUUCACCUGGAAAUCCUGUGCAUCUCUGGACUUCUCAAUACUCCAUAGUAACCUGGACUUCUAAGAAUACAAAGAUGGCACAAUAGGAUCAACAGUGGAUGAACUGGGAAUGACUUCCAGAAGAACAACAUUCGGGUAUCCAAGUGAUAAAAGCAGAACACCAAACUGACGUUUCGGUGCCACCAUCUUAGUGCUGCCAGUGUUUAUCCAAGCAAGUUCCACAGAUGCCAUCUACGACACACUCUAAGUGCAAAGCAGGAAUUGCAGGCUUCCCUUACACUAUUUAAGUUUUUAUCACUUUCUUUUCUUCAGCCAAAGGCAGAUAUAGCUGAAUUAGUUUAUGCUAGAAAAUAGAAUCAUAAGACAUUUCCAAAAUGGGAAGCAGUUAAAGGUGUCAGUUCUCACGCUGCAACAUUAUGAUGAAUACACAUCAGAAUCUUAUCAGAAGUAUUUCAAGUUUAAAGUUAGAACUGUUCUUGGCUGUCAAAGCCCAAAGUGUAGGGGGAUGGACAUUGCUCAAGAAUAAUGUCACCUAAGGGUCAGAAUCCAGCAAAAAUUGACAGUGGAACUCCUUCUGUUACUACAGGAGUCAAGAAGUCCCACAACUACUUCUGCUGCUAAGUUCUUAAAAUUUGUGCUGAUCACGAGUUUCUUAGGGACGUUCUUUCUCAUGAUGUCUUAUGACAUUCUUAAUUAUGCCAUUAUGUCAACUAUGCUGGAGUCUUCUGUUCAAAUAUUAUUCCUAAAAGUUUGUCCAACACCCUAGGAGAACAAUACUGAAUCUAAAACUCCUGAGCCAUAUGCCCCUGAAAAUCCCAGAUUAUAUCCUUUCCUAUAUUAGAAGCAUUGAUGUUAACAAAGAAAGGGGUGGGGGAGAAACCUUCUGAUCCACAUCGUAGGACUGAUAAAAGAAAAGUUUACCUAUUUUUUAGAUCAUCUUGCGUUUAAACUGGAGAUGGAGAGGUGGGAAACACCAAGUGUUGGGCUGGCCCCUUUAACGCCAGCUGAAAAAUGCCCAUGAGGGUGGGAUCAAAGACUUUCGAAAAGGUACUGUGGCAGGGCAGGCUGCCUUCCACUCAUCCCAGACCUUCUGCUUUCUGGUUUCCCAGACUGUGCUGUACGUUGCCUCUUGGACAUAGUGAUUCCUUCUCUGGAUCUGUUUUCUUCCCACCCAAUAUUCAUAUUGCUUUACUCCAAAUUGGAGCAACCUCAUUGCUACCAAACAUCACCAUUACCUCUGCUAGUUUCUCUCUUAAAUGCCCUAUUUCCUAUUUUUCUGUUACCAAUUCAGUGCUGACAAACUGACAGGUUUUUGCCUCCCCGACAAUACCAGUAUGGAAACUGCUUAAGAAAUUCAAGCUAUUCACAAAUCAUUUUUACCAGGAGUGGCCUACCAUUGAAGACAGUGUCUAUGAGAAAAUUUCAGUAUUCACAUAUCUUGGUCUUAUUGCAUGUGUAAUGAAUCUAAGAAUUAUUGCUAAGAGAUUUACAGCGUUGGCUAUAACCUGCAUCUGGAAGCCAAAAUGAUUUGGGUUAUAAAAAAAACACUGUGAAGGCUCCUCACUAUAUUCCAUUUUCCCAAAUGAAAUAAAUAAGAAAAUUUGGUUUAAAAUGUAUAUUGGUUAAUAAUAACCAAAGCCCAGAAAUAAUGCAUAUUUCCACCAAUAAGAGACUAGUUAAAAAACCAUGGUAAGUUCAUACAAUGGAAUAUUAUGUAGUCUUAAAAAGGAAUGAGGAAAAUCUUUAUAGACUGCUGUGUAAUGAUUGCAAGGACAUAUAAUUAAAAGAAAAAAAGCAAGAUGAAAAUAAUGUUUAUAGUAUGUUACCUUUUCUACAAGAAGUGGGGAUACGAAUAUAAUUACUAUUUACUUUUUAACAUUAAAACAUAAAAGAAUAAUCAAAAGCUCAUAAAAUAUGUUUACUUCUGGGGGAGAGAAAAAACAGAUGGAAGUUUGACUUCUGUUAAGUGUGUCUUGUUCAUA
ensembl:lncRNA